CAGCCGCCGCGGGAAUACGUAGGGUGCGAGCGUUAAUCGGAAUUACUGGGCGUAAAGGGCGCGUAGGUGGUUCGUUAAGACAGAUGUGAAAUCCCCGGGCUUAACCUGGGAACUGCAUUUGUGACUGGCGAGCUAGAGUAUGGCAGAGGGGGGUAGAAUUCCACGUGUAGCAGUGAAAUGCGUAGAGAUGUGGAGGAAUUCCGAUGGCGAAGGCAGCCCCCUGGGAUAACACUGACGCUCAUGCACGAAAGCGUGGGGAGCAAACAGGAUUAGAGACCCCCGUAGUCCCUGUCUCUUAUAC
rnacentral:rRNA from 1 species